rnacentral:rRNA from 1 species
GGUGAACGCUAGCGGUGCGCCUAACACAUGCAAGUCGAACGCGCUCUACCAUGAUUCUUUGCGUGCUUGCACAAUAAGUUAAUUGGAUUCUAGAGUGAGUGGCGAACGGGUGAGUAACACGUUGGUACCUGCCCCCAAGUCAGGGAUAGCCAGAGGAAACUCUGAUUAAUACCGGAUGUGCUCUUCGGAGUAAAGAUUUAUCGCUUGGGGAGGGGCCUGCGAACUAUCAGCUUGUUGGUGAGGUAAUAGCUCACCAAGGCUAUGACGGUUACCUGGUCUGAGAGGAUGAUCAGGCACAAUGAAACUGAGACACGGUUCAUACUCCUACGGGAGGCAGCAGUGAGGAAUCUUCCACAAUGGACGAAAGUCUGAUGGAGCGACACCGCGUGAAGGAUGAAGGUCUAACGAUUGUAAACUUCUUUUCUGAGGGAGCAAAAUGAGAGUACCUCAGGAAUAAGGGACGGCUAAUUACG